rnacentral:miRNA from 1 species
CUGAGCCUGGAGGCUUGUGCCUGUAAUUGCAGCCACUGGGGAGGCUGAGGCAGGAGGAU